UUGGUGGGGUAAUGGCCUACCAAGGCAACGAUCAGUAGCCGGCCUGAGAGGGUGGACGGCCACACUGGGACUGAGACACGGCCCAGACUCCUACGGGAGGCAGCAGUGGGGAAUAUUGCGCAAUGGGGGAAACCCUGACGCAGCGACGCCGCGUGAGCGAAGAAGGCCUUAGGGUCGUAAAGCUCUGUUUUAAGGGACGAAUAUCCUCAGUAGUAACUGACUGGGGAAUGACGGUACCUUAAGAGAAAGCCCCGGCUAACUACGUGCCAGCAGCCGCGGUAAGACGUAGGGGGCGAGCGUUGUCCGGAAUUACUGGGCGUAAAGAGCACGUAGGCGGGAUUUUAAGUCAGGUGUGAAAGACCGUGGCUCAACCACGGGGUUGCACAUGAAACUGGAAUUCUUGAGGGCAGGAGAGGAAAGUGGAAUUCCUGGUGUAGCGGUGAAAUGCGUAGAAAUCAGGAGGAACACCGGUGGCGAAGGCGACUUUCUGGACUGACCCUGACGCUGAGGUGCGAAAGCGUGGGUAGCAAACAGGAUUAGAUACCCUGGUAGUCCACGCUGUAAACGAUGGAUACUAGGUGUGGGAGGUAUCGACCCCUUCCGU
rnacentral:rRNA from 1 species